rnacentral:rRNA from 1 species
CUAAACCAUGCACCGAAGCUGCGGCAGCGAACGUAUCACCCAAGACAACUUUACGGAGUUGACGAUUGACGGAGCGAAGCGACGUCAAAGCGUUCAUUAAAGUCGAGUUGGCUUAGGGAUACGUUCGUUGGGUAGGGGAGCGUUCUGUAAGCCUGUGAAGGUGUGUCGUGAGGCAUGCUGGAGGUAUCAGAAGUGCGAAUGCUGACAUAAGUAACGAUAAAGCGGGUGAAAAGCCCGCUCGCCGGAAGACCAAGGGUUCCUGUCCAACGUUAAUCGGGGCAGGGUGAGUCGACCCCUAAGGCGAGGCCGAAAGGCGUAGUCGAUGGGAAACGGGUUAAUAUUCCCGUACUUGGUGUUACUGCGAAGGGGGGACGGAGAAGGCUAUGUUGGCCGGGCGACGGUUGUCCCGGUUUAAGCGUGUAGGUGUGUGUUCCAGGUAAAUCCGGUUCACUUUAACACUGAGGCGUGACGACGAGGCACUACGGUGCUGAAGCAACAAAUGCCCUGCUUCCAGGAAAAGCCUCUAAGCAUCAGGUAACAUCAAAUCGUACCCCAAACCGACACAGGUGGUCAGGUAGAGAAUACCAAGGCGCUUGAGAGAACUCGGGUGAAGGAACUAGGCAAAAUGGUGCCGUAACUUCGGGAGAAGGCACGCUGACACGUAGGUGAAGUGAUUUACUCAUGGAGCUGAAGUCAGUCGAAGAUACCAGCUGGCUGCAACUGUUUAUUAAAAACACAGCACUGUGCAAACACGAAAGUGGACGUAUACGGUGUGACGCCUGCCCGGUGCCGGAAGGUUAAUUGAUGGGGUCAGCGCAAGCGAAGCUCCUGAUCGAAGCCCCGGUAAACGGCGGCCGUAACUAUAACGGUCCUAAGGUAGCGAAAUUCCUUGUCGGGUAAGUUCCGACCUGCACGAAUGGCGUAAUGAUGGCCAGGCUGUCUCCACCCGAGACUCAGUGAAAUUGAACUCGCUGUGAAGAUGCAGUGUACCCGCGGCAAGACGGAAAGACCCCGUGAACCUUUACUAUAGCUUGACACUGAACAUUGAGCCUUGAUGUGUAGGAUAGGUGGGAGGCUUUGAAGUGUGGACGCCAGUCUGCAUGGAGCCGACCUUGAAAUACCACCCUUUAAUGUUUGAUGUUCUAACGUGGACCCGUAAUCCGGGUUGCGGACAGUGUCUGGUGGGUAGUUUGACUGGGGCGGUCUCCUCCUAAAGAGUAACGGAGGAGCACGAAGGUUGGCUAAUCCUGGUCGGACAUCAGGAGGUUAGUGCAAUGGCAUAAGCCAGCUUGACUGCGAGCGUGACGGCGCGAGCAGGUGCGAAAGCAGGUCAUAGUGAUCCGGUGGUUCUGAAUGGAAGGGCCAUCGCUCAACGGAUAAAAGGUACUCCGGGGAUAACAGGCUGAUACCGCCCAAGAGUUCAUAUCGACGGCGGUGUUUGGCACCUCGAUGUCGGCUCAUCACAUCCUGGGGCUGAAGUAGGUCCCAAGGGUAUGGCUGUUCGCCAUUUAAAGUGGUACGCGAGCUGGGUUUAGAACGUCGUGAGACAGUUCGGUCCCUAUCUGCCGUGGGCGCUGGAGAACUGAGGGGGGCUGCUCCUAGUACGAGAGGACCGGAGUGGACGCAUCACUGGUGUUCGGGUUGUCAUGCCAAUGGCACUGCCCGGUAGCUAAAUGCGGAAGAGAUAAGUGCUGAAAGCAUCUAAGCACGAAACUUGCCCCGA